AUGGACCACCAAGAAAAUAUAGUAACGCGACUUAUCCAAGAAGUGCAUAGAUCGAAAUGGAUUGCAAGUAGCAAUCAUGAUGUGAAAUGUUUUACAGAAGAUGAGAUAAGAAGAUUUACCAACAACUACAAAUCUGUAAUAGGCAAAGGUGCCUUUGGUGAAGUUUACGAAGGAGUCCUGGAGGACAAAAGUAUGAUUGCAGUCAAGAGGUUUAUCUGCAAUGUAAAAGAAAAUUUUGCCAAAGAGUUGAUCGUCCACCGUGAAAUCAAUCACAAGAAUGUAGUCAGAUUAGUUGGCUACUGUGUAGAUGAAAAUGCCCUAAUGGUGGUCACGGAGUAUAUUCCUAAGGGAAAUCUGAGCAACAUCCUUCACCAGGAUAGUACUCCCAUCGCUUUGGAUAUACGGCUAAGAAUUGCCAUUGAAUGUGCAGAAGCAUUGGGCUAUAUGCAUUCACAAAUGUAUACUCAGGUCAUUCAUGGUGAUAUCAAGCCUGCUAAUAUACUUCUGGAUGAUGAACUCAGAGCAAAAAUAUCAGACUUUGGAAUAUCAAGGCUAGUCAACACUGAAAAUACUCUAUAUACUCUAAAUGUGAUAGGAAGUAUAGGCUACAUGGACCCUCUGUUUGCUCAGAAUGGUCGCCUCACAGCAAAGAGUGAUGUUUAUAGUUUUGGAGUUGUGCUCCUGGAACUGAUAACCAGAAAAAAAGCAAGAACAGAGGAUGGAGAGAUUGGCUUGGUUGAAAGUUUUAUUCUAUCUCUUUCAAAAGGGUUUAGGAGGGUGAGGGAGAUGUUUGACCCUGAAAUUGCAACAUUAAGAGGCAUGAAGACUAUGGAUGAGAUUGCUAAGUUGGCAGGUAAAUGCUUGAGGAUGGAAGUCAGCAAACGUCCUGAGAUGUUAGAAGUUGCAGAAAGUCUUCGCAAAUUUAGAAAAGCUCCACAUCAGGUACAAGAAAGACCAGCUCUGUUUUCUUGGGGAAGGAAAAAUAAACCUGCUCCAGCCGAAACACCGUCUCUAGGAAGCAGUAGCAUCAGCGGUAUUCAAAUUGUGGGAACUGUAGCUCCAGCCAAAACACCAUCGCUAGAAAGCAGUAGCAGUAGCCAAAGUGUGAGAACUGUAGCUCCAGCUGAAAUGACACCAUCACAGGAAAGCAAUGGCAGUGCCCCCAAAACGGGAAUUGUGGCUUCAGCCAAAAAGCCAUCAGAGGAAAGCAGUAGCAAUACCCGAAAUGUGGGAAGUUUUAUCGUUAGGCCGACAGUGACAGGCCAAUUGUUCGAGCUGGACGACCUGCUUCGGUCAUCAGCUGAAGCUCUGGGAAAGGGUACAGUUGGGACAAUAUACAAAGUGACGCUUAAUAGUGGACAUGAGCUGGUGGUCAAGAGGCUGAAGGAUGUGGACAUGCCAGAGCCGGACUUUGAGCAGCAUGCCAUGCUGAUUGGCGCCAUCCAGAACAAACACAUUGUGCCACUGCAGUGGUAUUACUAUAGCAAGGAUGAGAAGUUGCUAGUGUAUGAUAUCAUCCCCAUGGGUAGCCUAGCAAAAGUGCUCCACGGUGACGAAGAUUCUCGCCCAGCUCCGCUGGACUGGGAGCAGCGGUCAGCCAUCUCACUUGCUGCUGCGCGCGGUGUGGAGGCUAUCCACUUAGCUGGACCAUCGAGCUGCCAUGGAAACAUCAAGUCUUCCAACAUUCUGCUCAGUGGCAACCACGAUGCAUUUGUGUCGGAGCACGGCCUGAUAACACUAGUUGCCAUGUAUCCUGAUGCUUCUGGCUACCGCGCGCCUGAGCUCACCAGCAAUAUGCGGGUCUCUCAGGAAGCCGAUGUGUACAGCUUCGGCAUCCUACUGCUGGAGCUUCUCACCCGCAAGGCUCCAACAAAUAGCAGAAAGGAUCUCGAGGGAGUUGAUUUGCUACGGUGGGUGUGUUCUGUUGUACGUGAGAAGUGGACAGCGGAGGUGUUCGAUGUGGAGCUCAUAGGGCGGGAGCAGAAGGUCGUGGAAGAGGAGUGCAUGGUGCGACUUCUGCAGCUCGCCAUAAACUGUUGCAGUCAAGAUGCCGACCGGAGGCCUACAAUGUUUGAAGUCGUGCAGCAGAUCGAGGAGAUCAGACAGUCCUGA
rnacentral:rRNA from 1 species